rfam:Danio rerio chromosome 4, GRCz11 reference primary assembly.
GGCCGGUUAGCUCAGCUGGUUAGAGCGUGGUGCUAAUAACGCCAAGGUCGUGGGUUCGAUCCCCGUACUGUCCA